rnacentral:rRNA from 1 species
GAUGAACGCUGGCGGCGUGCCUAAUACAUGCAAGUCGUACGGGGGUAGCUUUGUGGUAACAUAGAGCUAUCUCGUUAGUGGCGAAUGGGUGAGUAAUACGUUGGUGACCUGCCCCAAAGAGGGGGAUAACUCCGGGAAACUGGGGCUAAUACCUCAUGUGCUCUUUGAGAUUAGAAGCUGAGAGAGUAAAGGUGAAAACCGCUUUGGGAGGGGCCUACGUCCCAUCAGCUAGUUGGUAAGGUAAUGGCUUACCAAGGCUGCGACGGGUAGGAGGCCUGAGAGGGUGGCCCCCCACACUGGCACUGAAACACGGGCCAGACACCUACGGGUGGCAGCAGUAGGGAAUAUUGCACAAUGGGCGAAAGCCUGAUGCAGCAACGCCGCGUGCGCGAUGAAGGCCUUCGGGUUGUAAAGCGUCUUUUGUUUGGGAAGAAUCCGGUUGGUUAAUACCUGAUCGGGAUGACGGUAACCAAAGAAUAAGCACCGGCUAACUUCGUGCCAGCAGCCGCGGUAAG